rnacentral:lncRNA from 1 species
UAUAAGAUCAGGUAUACAUGAAUGAAAUGCAGAUAGUACAGCAAGUGACAUUGACAUUUAUUAAGAAAAUCUAAUUUUGGCUCACUUGUCUGUGUUAACAUAGUACAUAAACAACAGAGUACAAAGUACUGAAGUCACAGGAUCUUCGCAGGCUGGACACCAGGCUGUGAAAGCUACCAGACAUCUUUGGAUGUGGAGGUAUUGGCUCCAGGCCGGUUUCAUAGGGAGGAGAACUAAAUUAUUUGGAGAAGCUGCUAUGUGCUGGGCACUCUGCUAGGUGUUUUACCUAUUUUUAUUUGUACCAUCACAUGAAAGCUCUGUGGGGCACGAACUGUCUUUGCCAGAUUGAUAGUGAGCUGUGUGUGUGUGUGUGAUGGUGUGAUUUGGCUGAAGCCUCAAAGCCAGUAGGUGGCUAAACCAGGACUGAAGGCACAGCCACCUCCCAGACUGUGUGCUUCCUUCUCUCCCACAUCCGCCUCACUGAUUGCUAUAAAUGCAGGUUGUUUAUACCACUUAAGUUUCGAGAAGGAGCCACUUCUCAAUAUAAUCGCAGAGUGUGGGUCUAAGGAAAUAUUUUUGAAAAACGUUUUCUUCAGUGUGCAACGGUCAGUAAGAAUCAGCCAUCCAUAACUUCACUCAUGAGUAUAUUUUGAAUGAAAUGUUUUUGUUUCUGUUAUCAUUAUGGAAAACUAACCUACAGAUUUCAUGUAUAAACACUUCUUUUUAUUCCGUAGAUCUUAUCAGGUUUAUAAGCUUUAGCAUCACUUUAAUUCUUAUUAAAUGUUAACUUGAUGCUAUUAAAUGCCAUCUUUACUAGGAUUGUCCUGAGGUUUUGGGUGCACAAAAUACUUCAAGUAUACAAUUCCAAAGUUACAGGUCCCAUUCAUAAGCAAUUUUGUAGUUGCAAAUUCUAUUACUGCUACUAUGCAGAUUGUAAUUUAAAAAUCAUUUUUAUUAUUCUUAAUCUAUCAACAAUAAUCCAGAGUGCCUUCAACAGAGAUAUUCAAAAGUAGAAAUGGAGAAAAAGUAAGUUAGGGGAAAAGUAAAAGACUAUAAUACUAAACAUCACUGUUAACCCCAAAUUAUCUAAUAUAUGAAUUUAAAAAAAAAGACUUUCUUUUGUUACAAUUAUAAAAAUUAAUACAUGCUGUUGCCAAAAAUUAAGAAAAAGCACUAAUAAAAAAUAAAAAUAGCAAACCUGACAUUUUCAUGCAUUUUCCCAAAGUUUCAUAUUUACAAUAUUGGAGAUUAAACAGUUUUUUAGGAUGAAUGUUUUAAGAAUAGGCAAACUACCAUCAACUUUACAAGUUUGAGUGUAUUAAAUAUAUUUCUUCAUAUAUACAUGUAGGCAAGCAAAUACUUGCCACUGAUACUAGUUUAACAACGUUGUUUUAAAUGAAAUGAUAUUCAGUUUUGCAUAUGCUGAAAAAUGAUAAAUCUCAUAACUUCUGGACCCUGGACUUAAAUGCACCUGUAAGAAGCUACCCACAAAAAAGCUAAUUUCUGAUGGUUGUCUUGUCUCUCACGUGCAGAGACAGGAUAACCUUUUUUUACUUGGGAAGAUAAAUGUCAUGGUAAGUGUCAUUUUGCAACAUGGGAAAAUGUCAGAACAAUGCUUCCUGGUAUCCUCUGAAUGCUGGUGAUCCCUGCCUACCAUAUUGUGUCCUUUCCCAUUUUGUGUGUUCCUGUAGCUUUCUUCAAACUAGAGGAGGGUUUAGACCAGGCUGGUUCUAUCAGUUACAGUUAACUCAUCCCCAUCCCCUCCUCCAACAGAAUAAUUUUAAAUUUUAAAAGCCAUACAAAUAGAACUAAAUCUGGGUCUACUGGCCAAUCCUUGUUUCUAAUCAUAUAGAAGAAAGCACAGAUCCAGAUGUAAACAACUAGGAUGCAUGGACAGAGAUUCUUAACUAGAGAUUCAUAUAUAGAAUUCACAAAUCAUAAUGUAUUCACUAUUGGUUCAGUGAGGGCUUCCAUAUAGUUCUUCCUUACUAUCCUGUUUUUCUUACACAGUAUUGUUUUUCCAGAUGAGAGGUACACUCUGCUCCAAGCCAUCACCUAUUCUAGGAACUCUAGAAAGUCUUUCAUUUCUCCUAUAUAAUGGUUGUGCCUGUUGUGCCCUUCCAGACUCUGCAGGUGGUGGGGCUGUGCAGGGAGUGGGUUCAAGAAAGUCAUGGAUAACAAUCUCUAUGGUUGUUAACUCUAAACCUCCACCCACAAAAGUCACCAGGAUUCUGAGCCCCCCACAUGCACAUUCACGCUCCUUGGCCUGAGUGAUUGGUGCAGAGGGAUAUUGACUACCAUGUGGCCCUAGCACUUUUGCCUUCAUGGGUCCCCUCCUCCAUUAAAAAAAAAAAAAAAGUCAAAAGUCGCAUCUUAUGACUGCGUUGUUAUAAAGACAAAUGUAAUCCAGGCUGGAUUUAUUAUUACACAUCCAUUAUUAUAACAGUCAUUUUGGGGGCUCUGAUUUUAAGAGAGAUUAAAACAUUUUUAUGGGCCCUUAAAAGCAUCUAGUGCCCUAUGUACUGUGUCCACAGUGCCUAAUGCCUACAUUGAGCCUGGGUCAUGUCUUUUCAAGAGUCAGUGUGGCGUCCCCAGGUCUGCUCUGCUGUCAUCUAUGGGGGCUCUAUUUUGGCGGUGGUUGUUCCCACCCUAACAGGCCCCUUUGCUAUGGCCACUGCUAUCACUAUUUUUGUUAGGAUUCAGGGAGUCUCCCCUAACAGUACUUACAAAUCUUAUUGGGUGCCCAAUCAGUAGCUUUUAUCUUGUAGUUCUUAAAACACACUCAGAAAAUCUGGAACAUUUAGGCCGGAGGCAGAAAAGAUUGCUGUGUAAAAUUGAUGGGAUUCUUAAAAUGUAAUCUCUCCACACCAGACAGCAAGGCUAAGCACUUCAUUCUCUCCUGCCUCAGGGUGUGUUCCUGACCAUCCAGGAGCACUUCUGAGAAAGUUGAGUCACCCUGUGUCUCUACUUUUAUUAAAAAAAAACAGCCCUCAAUGACUAGAGUCACCAACUGGUUCCAAAGUUUUCCUCACUGUUUUUUUCUUUUUUUUUUUCUUUUUUUUUUUUUUUUUAAUUUUUUUUUUCAACAUUUAUUUAUUUUUGGGACAGAGAGAGACAGAGCAUGAACGGGGGAGGGGCAGAGAGAGAGGGAGACACAGAAUCGGAAACAGGCUCCAGGCUCUGAGCCAUCAGCCCAGAGCCUGACGCGGGGCUCGAACUCGUGGACCGCGAGAUCGUGACCUGGCUGAAGUCGGACGCUUAACCGACUGCGCCACCCAGGUGCCCCUCCUCACUGUUUUUUUCAACUUCUGUUCCUCAAGAGAGAAACAGCACUGCCUUGCACUCCAAAUUCCUGAGUUGUGCAUGAAGAUUAGCCUCCUCCCAGGGACCUGGUUAUAAUCCUCUAUUUUGUAAAAUGGUUUCUGAUUGUGUCUCAUCAAAAAACUGCCUUGUUGGGGCGCCUGGGUGGCGCAGUCGGUUAAGCGUCCGACUUCAGCCAGGUCACGAUCUCACGGUCCGUGAGUUCGAGCCCCGCGUCGGGCUCUGGGCUGAUGAUGGCCCAGAGCCUGGAGCCUGCUUCCGAUUCUGUGUCUCCCUCUCUCUCUGACCCUCCCCCGUUCAUGCUCUGCCUCCCUCUGUCUCAAAAAUAAAUAAACGUUAAAAAAAAAAAAAACAAAAAAACAAAAACUGCCUUGUGUGGGUGGAGACUAUGCUCAUUUCUUUUGAACCAUUUUGUACGAUUAGGUAUAAAAUAGACACUCAAGUUUACUUAAUACAUACAAGUAUUAGAUGCUGUUUUCAAGUUAUUUAAGAUACUGAAAUCACAUAAUAUGGCCAACUUUGACAGGAAGUGAAUUCUGAAUUAGAUAAAAAGUCUUAAAGACAUUUAAAUAAGUUUCAAGCAUCUAAAUAAAAAUUCAUUAAUAUUAUGUUGCCAAGUAAAUAUGUUUGAAAUUUGCUCUGAAGGACAGAUAAGACUUAUUUUUAAUUAACAAGAUCCAUUUGUCCACAAUUUGCCAUUUGUUUGUUCUGUUGAGAAGGUUAAACAUUCUCCCGCCUAAGCCUAAUUGUCACUGUGUCCCUGGGGCUUAUUUACCUGUGUGCUUAGCAAGCUUUCUUGACAAAAGGUCAAGGUGACAGCACUCGGUUCUCAUUCACCUAUAACCAGUGAUGAAUUGGUUAAGUUUACUAUCACGUUUACUCUGACUAAUGUGGCUCUAAAUUACUUAGCACCUAUUUUAUCUCAACAUUGAGAUAAAUAUAAACAAUAUAUAUUUACAUAUUUUAUUUAAUAUAUAUUUAUAUAUUAUGUAAAUAAUAUAAAUUUGAUAAUUAAGAAGUAAAUGUAGAAUAAAGUAUUGUUUUCUUGUUUUCUAUGAUAAAUCCAAAAUUUGUUAUUUAAAGUUAUAUUUUAUAAUAUAUUUAUAUUUUAGAGACUUUUAAUAAUAUGUGAAAUACACAACCAAAAAUGUAAUCUUAAUUAAAGGUUACUCUUGUUACUUUCAGUCCCUUGUUAAAUAUCUCAGAUGAUUUGCAAAACAAGGUACUUUUCUGGGGUUAUUUAUAAGAAAAAGGAAACCAGUGAAAAACACAAAGUCCUAAAGAUUACCUUGUUAUUAUUUUCUUUUUGAAAAAUGUCUCCCCAAAUAUAAGUACUCCAGACUGCUUGAAUCUUACUUGCACAAAUGGAUGGAUGUCCCAACAUUCAAGAGAAAGUAUGAUAAUUAUUCUUCACCAGCAUGGGUGCUAGAAUAGUUGCUUCGACUAAUCUGAAUCAAUGGUGCUUUGAGGGUAAGGAAGUUGAGACCUGGCCUCUUUCUGAGAAGAAUUAGGAGAAGAGGUCUUGAGGUCUGGUUUCUAAGCAUAUGCAACAGCCAGGUUAGUGCAGUAUGCAAGAUCUUAGACUGUUGAAGGUAGGUGGGAAGGAAACUUUGGAGGAACCAUGUCACAAAAAUAAAAUAUGGUUUCUUUAUCAUUUCUGUCUUUUCCAGAUUUUCUAAGAUUGGAAAAAUUUCCAAAAUAAAUACAAUAAAUAAGAAUCCUUGUAGGUAAACAUGUGGUUAAGACCAUGAAACAGUUUCUGUGAAACUUACUAAUCAGUGAUUAGAUGCAUCCCCCAACUUCUUGCCCCUAAUAAGUAAUAUAUCCAUAUACCAAGUCAAAAACAAGUCACAAGAAAGAAUUUCAUCCCCCUACUAAAUUGGAGACCUUUAAAUGUUGACAGUUAUCUCAGAGCAAAGAGACUGAGUCCUCACACCCCUUUUAAAAUAGAUGGAAAGGCCAUAUAUUAAUAUAUUGCUACCAAAUUAUUGACUUCGAGAUAGCAAAUUUAUCCAGAUGUCACAAGGAAGAAUUAUACUGCAUCUGUUUUUUUUUCUAGAGGAGGACUAUUAGCUAGUGAAGUGGAAUUUGUCCCCUUUAUUAAUGUUUCAGGUAAAUUCUAUUGCUAAUUUUUGAACAAGAGUAGUGGACUUGGAGCCUGAGCACCCAGUACCCUUCUUUGCGGCUUUCCUCAUUUUCUGGAAGGUGCAAGUGUUUUUACCAGCAUGUUCCCCAGUCACCAAAUGCUCUAGUUUUAUUGACAUAACUUAAGAAAAGUAAAUUAAGAAACUAGGCCAAUUCUAGCCAAGAAAGUCUCAGCUAAGGUAUUCCAUCUGCCUGACUUCCUUGAAACAGCUCUAAGAGAGAAGCUGAGGCUGUGGGAAUUCCUAUUCUAAAACUCUGGAUCAGUCUCUGGCACCUCUGCUUACCUAGAUAGUCCUCUGGGAGUCAUUGGUAAUGUGUGGGUUGGCUCCUCCCUAAUGCCUCCCUGACCCUUGAAAGGGAAUGAAUAGUCUCUCUCACCUUGUGGAUAAGAGUUAGGGAAAGAAUGAAGACACCUUGGAGCUGUGAACUCAAAUGAGUGUGUGGCCAGGUAUGGUUGAAGGGAUUACCAGUUAAUUGACCCCGUGCAGCCUCCACAGUCUUUGGAAGAGAAAGAGGGUUGGCCAUGCAGCAUGUGGGCACCAACACUGGGACUGAAGUCAGAAGACAGAAGUUUUAAUCCCAGCUCUGCCUUUUAUACAUUAUUUUCUCUAAACCUUCAUUUUACUUUCUGAAAAUCAGAUACAGUACUUCACAAAUUUGUGAGAAUUAAAUAAGAUUAUCUAUGAAAGCACUUGCACAAUGCCUGUUACAUUGUAGAUAUUCGAUAAAAAUUAGUCAACUAUGAACUGUUAUUGCUGAGCUCAUGGGCUCCAUGGCCUAAUUGCCCUUAUGAGAUGGAUGGCAAAAGAUGCAAUAUUAUGUUUGUGAGAUUCAUCCAUGGAGUAAGUGUUAUGACAUUCUUACCACUGUGCAGUAUUCCAUCAUCUGAAUAUACCACCAUUCAUAUGAAUGAAUAUUUAUCCAUUCAACUCUUGAUGGACAUUUGGGUUGCUUCUGGUUUUUGGCUAAUGUAGAAAACACUGUAAUGAAUUUGAGUUUGGAAGCCACAGAGAAUAUAUGAGGAGCAAACAACUGAAAAAUAGAGGUGUAAAGAGUAAACAGACUUCCAUAACAGCAACAGAGGCAGAGAAUAGUCACAGUACAUAUAAGAGGUCUUAUCCAUGAGCAAAUUAAGUCUGAAUCUCUGCAGUCAACAAUCAAACACCAGGGUUGGGAUGACCUAAACCAAAAGGGACUAGUAACUCGCAGAAAUCAAGGAUCAGAAAGCAAGACUGGGACAUUGAAUCUAGCAACCAGUGGAUAACGAGAAACCAGUUUCUAAUGAGCUGGGAUUAAUAAACGUCAUGGGCUGAGCUGUUCCCUCCCACCCCCUUCCAAAUUCAUAUGUUGAAGGCCUAUCUCCCAGUACCUCAGAAUGUGACUCUAUUUAGAGAUACGAUUUUAAAAUGAGGUAUUAGGGCGUUCUCUAAUCCAAUAUGAAUGGUAUUCUUUUAAGAAGAGGAAAACAGGACACAGAAGAAAGACCAUGUGAAGACAUAGAGAGAAGACAGCCAUCUAGAAGCCAAGGAGAGAGGCUUCAGAUGAAGCCAACUCUGCCAACUCCAUGAUCUCAGACUCCUGGCCUCCAGGACUGUGAGAAAAUAAAUUUUUGUUGGUUAAGCCAUGCAGCCUGUGGUACUUGUUAUGGAAGCUCCAGUAAGCUCAUAGAUUAAGUAAACAACUACUGAUUACAAAGUGGUCUUCCUUUGGUACCUCAGAAAACUGUUUAGAAAUAUCCAAAGACAAUCAGUAUGUAGCAGGGUUAUUUAUAAGCUUUUGCAGAGAAUUUCUUUUGUUACUUCUAAUCUGCUCAGAGACUUCUAGAUACUGCAAACUAGACAUUCUGAACGCAGGUGGCCACAAUUGGCCACUAUUGUAGUGUCCUGUCAGGGACUAUGACCUACUUGUCAGGGAGAAUUGCCUAAAAGAAACUCAGAUGAAGAUCGUGCCUGGAGUGGUCAGCCUGCGCCAGCAGGAGCUGUGCUUCUCAAACUGAAUUGAGGUUUCUGCCACAUGACCUCAAAUUAUAGUUUGGAACUUCUUGAAAAGAAUUUUCUUGUAAAAAAGCAUUUCACUUUUAAUUUCAAAAUCUGACUUGUCCAAGGAAGUUAUUUAUUCCCAGCUAAAAGUUUAUUAAAUUAUAUACAUCUUAGAGACUUCAAUUAGUUAAUAUGUACAUCAGUUAAAAUAGUUGAUAUGUACAUAAAUAUAGAACAGCUGAAAAAAAUAGAAUAAUUGGGAAGUAAUCAUGUAUUACAGGUAGGUUUUGUUUUUUUUUUUUUCUUUCCCACAAGCUCUUGCUAAUAUCUCUGCAGUUUAUUUUGUGGCAGAGCUUAUGGCUUGUCUCUGGCUGUCAGAUAAUAGCCUGGACUGUUCUGUAUGAAGACGUCAGCUUGGGACUUUAAAGGAAUCAGGAUUUCUGGAGUGCCUGAAUGUUUUAAAUGAAGUCAGUUUUCCUCUUUCUAAUCACCAUAAAUCUGUAACUCACAUUUCUAUUAUUAUGCAGGUGACACAUAAAACAGUUCAUUUUACUCUUCUGUCAAACUUUCCGGCUAAAAUCACAGUCCUGAUUAACUCCAAAUGUAGGACACUGUUAUAAAUAUCAAUAGAUGUAUGAAAUUUGCUCUUGAAGUUACCACUUAAAGACCUAUUAAAAAGAAAGAACAACCUCUCGAUUCUCUCCCCUACCUUGUGGAUGGACACCCAUGAAGACGGGAGGCUGUGUUGAAAGGACAACCAGGUGGACCAUUCAGCGAGUCAGUAUUCUAGUGGUUUUGAAGCCAGUGUCUCUAUUGUGUCUAGACCCAUGUCCUGUGCUCUAUAUUACAUGUUGCCUUUUUUGGAAGUUCUCCUUCAACUGACAAAACGGGAAGGGAAGGAAAUGGCUCAAGCUCCUACCUUUCCUUUGGUAUUAUUCCAUUUGCUCAUCUAUCAACUCCAAGCUGCCAAGGGACACUCUAACCCAGUGGUGUGUGGCAACAUGGCUUUAUAUACAUAUGGCUACUGAGGCUAAUUAGUUGGGUUCUGUGUUCACAGAACAUGGGGCAUGAAGUUGGAAACCCAGGGUUUAAUACUCAGAGACUACCCUUUCCGUUCUUGUGUGACCUAAGGCAGAGAAUUUUGUUUUCUCUAGGUUACUAGUGGGAAUGAUACUAUAAACUGCUUCACUGACUCUGCAGGGUUUUUGUGAUAAUCAACUAGGUGAUAUGUAAAAGUGAGCAUUCAGUAGGCUCUAACAAUUCUAUAAAUCAGCCAAAUCUCAUUUGUUAAGUAAAUUAUUUUCUAUAUGUAUUUGAGAGUCUAUAGUAUCUAAAAGAACUAUUUAUUAUUUUGAGAGUAAUUUGAUAAUGCCACACUACAACGAGAUGAAAAAGUUAAUGAACUUGCCCUAACAAUAGAAAUCCAAAGCUAGUCUAGAUCUGGCCAAUUCAAGCAACAACUGCAAAACUCCAAGGUACCAUUAGAUUGCUAAAGAAUUCACAGGGUCUUUUAUGUGCUCUAGGACUGACAAAUAUAGAGCCAUAUUAGGAAAUGUAUUCAACCAAAGUUAUAUAAUCACGAUAACAAAGAUGACUCUCAACUUUCAAAGUCUAAGAAAGGAUUCAGUGUAGAGAACCUUGAGAUUAUUGAAACAUUUCCAGCAGUUCUAAAAGUAUAUGUUUCUACUAAUUAGUUCAUUGGUUUGUCUGAUGAAUUAUUAAUAGGGACCAUAUUCAUAUCUUGUUUCUAAUUCUGAAGAACUAGAACAGUUUGAUGAACCAUUUAGUUCACAAAAGUGUUGGGUCAUUUUUACAUUCUGCUUCAGGCAGAUUGUAUGUGUCUCCUAUACUGGAAAUAUGUUCAUAAUCUGUGUCCCAAGUCACUAUAAAUAGGCAGAAGAGUAAUUUGAUAAUGUUAAUUUUAAGCUGCCUAUGAAGUUUUUCUGAAUGUCUUAAAAAUAGAUUCUCUGCUAUCCUCUAAAUUUUUUUCCUCCAAACUCUGAGAUAUAUAUAUAUCAAAAUAGAUUAAAUUAACAUUUAAAAGAGAUUUGGCCUAAACUCAUUUCAUCUUGCUAAAUAAUACAGUAUGGUCUUUCAAGUUCAAAGAUAAAAAAGCAACUACAUGGUACAGAUAUUUCAUUAGACUGAGUGAAAUUACACUAAUUGUAGGUUGAUGUUAUAUGUACAGAAAAAAGUUAAUUACUUAACAUGAAGAUCCUAGUUGUUUCCAUAUCAACAUAUGCCAAAUUUUAUAAAACUUUUAAAAGUUUCCCAGAAAGUAUAAGAGGUCUUGGAUUCUCUACCUAUUUCUUUUUUUUCAGUUUUUAUUUAUUUAUUUUGUGGGAGAGAGAGAGAGAGAGAGAGGGAGAGAGAGACACGAGUGGGUAAGGGGCAGAGAGAGAGGGAGAGAGAGAAUCCCAAGCAGGCUUGAACCCACAAACUGUGAGAUCAUGACCUGAGCUGAAAUCAAGAGUCAGAUGCUUAACCAACUCAGCCACCCAGGGGCCUCUCUACUUAAGCUACUCCUAUAAACACUAAAUUGAAGAAAGCUCCAAAUGGUUUAAACACCUAUCCAAAUCAAUUUAUCUGAAAAUUUACAGUUACUCCUCUUUCCCCCCCCACCAACAUUAACAAUACCACAUUAUCUCCUUCCUUCUAGCCAAUUAAUCUGUUCAGGUACAGUAAAACAAAAGCCUAAUUAACCAGCAUUCUCAAUUAACUUUUCCAGAAAAUUUCAUGUUUAGAAUAAAAAUUAACUUACAAGCAAAUAAGCUCAUUUGAAAGAUUCUGAAGAUUCCAAGUUACGUACCACAGUCAGUCUAUAUUCAUUCAGCCCAUCUCUGACACCUGGGGACUAUUCAAUCAGGAAAGAUGCACCAGAGUAAUAGCCCCGAGGCCUGUAAUACCCCCAUUCUUCAAAGAAAGAAUUUGGUAUAGUGUAUUGCACUUAGUGAUGCAGAAAGAAGCAGGAAUACAUUUUAGAAACAUUUGCCGCUUUAAAAAAAUUUUUUUUUUCUCCUUUAGUCAAUCUUGAUGUGAUGAAAAAUUUCAAUUAAAUAUGACAUUCAGGGGCGCCUGGGUGGCGCAGUCGGUUAAGCGUCCGACUUCAGCCAGGUCACGAUCUCGCGGUCAGUGAGUUCGAGCCCCGCGUCGGGCUCUGGGCUGAUGGCUCAGAGCCUGGAGCCUGUUUCCGAUUCUGUGUCUCCCUCUCUCUCUGCCCCUCCCCCGUUCAUGCUCUGUCUCUCUCUGUCCCAAAAAUAAAUAAAUGUUGAAAAAAAAAUUUUUUUUUUUUUAAAUAUGACAUUCAAAUGGCUGUGAGUGUUCUGGUUAAUUGAAACGCUGUCGUAUAUCACUAGAUUAAAAACACCAAGAUUUCUUUUUAAUUUCUUAAACACUGCUUUUCCUCAAAUGUUACCAUCAAGACGAUCAGUUAUUUUAUUCAUUUUUUAAAUGUUUUUAUUUUUAUAUUUGAGAAAGAGAGAGUUCAAGCAGGCAGAGAGUGAAAGAAAGAGAGGGGGGAGAGAGAGAGAGAGAGAGAGAGAGAGAGAGGAGCUGAAGCAGGCUCUGCGCCAACAGCAGUGAGUCCGAUUUGGGGCUCGGGCUCACAAACUGUGAGAUUGUGACCUGAGCCAAAGUUGGAUGCUCAACUGACUGAGCCACCCAGGUGCCCUAAGAAGAUCAAUUAUUUUAAAGGUCUACUUCCUGUUUUUCCCAUUAGUUCAUCACAGAUCACAGUUGCUUUUAGGUAUAACACAUAUAUAUUCUGUCACUUAAAUGUAUGUAUUGUAUAUCUAUCCAUAUUUAUAUCUAUACCCAUAUGCAAAUCAUGGCCAACUUAAUGCAGCAGUGUAAAAAAAUUGAGAUUCAUUUUCUAGUGUUAUUUCCAUUUAUAAUAAAUUGUGUACAGACCUCAUUACAAAUGUGCUUUAAGAGAUUUUAAAUUUCAGUAAAAACACAAUGUACUCUGUUGUAGAACUUUCUAUGUUAAAGUCAUCAAGAUUUAGAAAUUCCAGAAAUAUUUUUUUCUGCCUGACCUUUCCAACAACUUUAAAAAACAAUUAUUUCAGUGGGCUUAGAGUUACUCUGACCUUUUCUUUGAAAAGGAGAAACGAAGUUGUUUGCAUUUUUCCCCUCAUUAAAAAAAAUUCUUGUCUUAGAGAAGACUUAAUUGGAAAUAGAAGUGUACUUCUUAUCUUUGGAUAUUUUAAUACCAUAGUGAUUUCAGGUACAGCAAUGACACAAACUAUGCCCCAGUAAAAGAAAGCGACUGACAGUUUUUGUAAGAAUUUAACUUGGAUUCAUCCAUUAUGGAGCUUAUUGUCCAUUUAAGUCUCUCUUAAUUAGUACUGUAGAAUUUUACUCAUCUGUUUUCAGUUUAAACUCUGUGAAGGUUUAUACUUUUAUUUCAAAAUCACAUAGUACCAUAUUAAUAUUUUUAUCUCUUUCCUCUUCUUCAAAAUGAACAAUGAAAUUAGGUACUUCAGGACUCUGGGCUCUUUUAUCAAUAAUAUUUCUCUCCAUAUGAUACUGCACAGGCAAGAGCAAGGGUUUACAAAAAUACACAAACUGGAUUUUGCCUUUGAUUAACUUGGGCUUCAGAAAGUUGAUGUCUCACUAACUUUUAGAAAGCUUUUAGAAAGUCAGUAUUCCUCAGGGCAUCAAACUUCCACAGAGGACAGUCCUAACAGUAGGAGUUGCCUGGCAUCAUAGAAUGUUCUUCCUGGAAGGGGGGGGCACUUUGUGCCUGUAUCUCUGCCUAUGUCUGUAGAAUCUUUUUCCAUCACUUCCUGUCCUGUAGCGCCUCACUUGGUAGCUUUUCUGCACCACUCACCAUGCUGGUUAAGGCUGUAUGGAUGCAAGUUUCUGGUCUCUGCAGAAACUGUUCCCUUCAUUUGGAAUUCCCAUCUCCUCAUCUCUUCCUGUUGAAUUCUAUGUAUUCUUGCAUAUCCAGCUCAAUCACCAUUCUUCUUUGUUAAAGUCUAGACUGUGAUCUCCUUGAAGUCGGAUACUGAGACUCAUAUUCUGUUUUGUGUUGCUACAAGCACAGUCUUGUGAGUACAGGGGUGUUAAGUGAAAAGCUUGUUGAAUGAAUGAAGGCAUGAAAGGAUGAAUAGAUGAUAUAUAGUCCUGCCUACCUAAGACUUCUUGAGGUUUCUUCCAAACCACCUCCUCCCCAAACUCUUCCACCAACAUCUCAGGCAGACUAGGAAUGGCUCCUGGCUAAGAACAUAAUGCAAUUCUUAGCAGUAAUAAUUUAAAACCUUUUGAUCUCAUUUUAGUAGCCAAGGGAAAGGCUAUUAUGAGUUUAUGGCUCAUCCAUGGACUUUUCAUAUUUUCUGCAAAGCCAUUUGUGGGGGUGGUUGGAAAUCAUACUUACUUUGGAUUAAAAUAUAGUAGCAAUUUGGAAGAGGGAGAAAGGAGAGAAAGAAGAUUGGCUUAAAAAACUGCAAAAUUAGGGGCAUCUGGCUGGCUCAGUUGGAAGACCAUGUGACUCUUGAUCUCGGGGGUCAUAAGCUUGAACCCCACGUGGGUGUAGAGAGUGCUAAAAAAUAAUAAACUUAAAAAACUUGCAUAAUUAAAACAAAUUUUUGAUGGUAAGUUAGUCCUCUCUUCAACCUCCCUCCCCUUGCUGUUAUAUCCGCAAACCUUUAGUGAUAUCUGCUGGAGUUACAAACAUCUUCUGUAAGAUGUAGCCUUUUGCUUAUAAUUGAAGAAUAGAGCCAAAUUCCACAUUCAAAUUGACAAGGUGUGGAAGAAGGAGAGAAAAACAGAGAAGUAACUGUAUGUUUUGUUCAGUGCUAUAUAUGAAGAACCCAAACAGUAAAUGACACGGAAUGGGUGCUUAAAUAUUUGUUGAAUGAAUUUUAAAAAUCCACAAACCUAAGACUGGUAAAACAGAAGUAGGAGCUUAGAGCCAGAGAAUUUAGCAACCUUCAAAUUUGCACAAAUCUUGUGAAAUGAUGCGGGGAUGGAGAGGUGCUGAAUUUCACAGUGCAGGAGUGCUUUGAGUCAAUCUUAUCUUGAUCUCAAGAUUUAGGGAGACUCAGCUGGCAUAGAGGUUAAAUAAUGCAAAAGAGAAGAAACUGUAACUUGAAUCAAAGAUGUCUUAAGGAAGGACUGGUACAUGUCCGGUGAUUUUGAAACCAACACAAAUGAACUUAGUGCUGAGAGAUUAUGUGGAGAAGACACUGAAUUUUGAAGAUUACUGGAAAAAGUUGAAAAUUGCAGUGAUGUAUUACGUAGAAAUAUAGUGGUUAUGUGUUCUGCCUGGAGGAAGGCAAGAGAACAUUUUCUGACUUUCCGAGUGAAACAAUUUCCUGAACAAUGUGAGAAUGAAGGGGGCACAGAGACAGUGUUAGAGAGUCACCCCUGAAGAAGAAGGCUUUGUGCAUUUGAUGUGUUCUUCAUUUUAAAGCUGCCAAGAAUAAAAUAGUUCUUUACUUGACAUCUAACAAUGAACACAGCAAUUUCUACCUCUGAGGAAAUUACUCAGAACAGUAAACUUAUCUGAAGAGUGUCAUGGUCCAAAGAAGAAAUGAACAUCAGAGCAUCUAGCUAAUAAAAAUAACUACCAAAAUGAUAUUAAGCAAGCUACAAAGUUUCCAACUGAAUUGUCAUGAACACUUCUUGAAGUGGAUAUGAUUAUAUCCUCAUUUUACAGAAAAGGCGCUUGAAGCUCACAGAGAAUAACUUGCCCAAAGAUAGGUCUCUAGUAAUAGCAGUAGUAGUAAUGAGCAGUAAUCACUUACUGAGCAUCUAAAAUGUACCAGAUACUGUGCUGAGUACUGUACAUAUAUUUCAACAGUACCUAGGUCACAACAACUCCUUAGGGUCCAUAUUUUUCUUUUUUAUAACCAUUUACAGAUGAAGAAACUGAGACAGAGUCAGUGGGAGAACUAGGAAGUGUCAGAGAUGGGACAAAAGUCCAGAGUCUGUCUGUGUUUUUGACGGCUAUGUUUUAUUGUCUACUAGAAAGCUGCUAUUUGGAAGCCAAGCCUGUCUGUCACAGGGGCCCACACUGUGAGCCAUGCCUUUCUACUACCACCAUGUUCUACUCAGUGAUACCGCGGAACUUCUAUUGCAGUUUAUGUCUUCCUUGGACAAACACACUGGAUACCAAGUAGACACAUGUGGACAAAUUCCUGCUGUUACAUAGGUCAAAUAGCUGGAGGGUAUGGUGAGAGCCAGGAUUUGGGCACAGGCAUAUUCAACCCCAAGUUGUAUGCUCUUUAAUUUGUACUGCACUAGGUAACUUUUGUGAAAAGUCCUGAAGACACUAUGGCAAACCAGCUUUUUCAGUGUCAUUGAAGUGGAUAGUUUUUACUGAACUCCCUUUCUACCUCCCUCUGGACAAAGAGGCAGAAAGUCUAAGUUUAAAUGCCAGCACUCCAACUUACAAGGGUGCAAAUUUGGGUAAAGUGACCUUUCUGAGCUUCUCCGUUCUCAUCUGUUAAAAUGGGAAUAAUUAUACCCACUUUACAAAGCUGUGUGGAAGAACUCAGUAAAGGGAGUGAACACUGUAGGCACUUGAUAGACAGUAGUUUCUUCUCUUUUCUUUCCUUGCUCCUUUCUCUCUCAUCUCUUUCUUCUCCUGGGCAAAGCAAAAGGUAUCACCAUUUUUAAACGCUAUAAGCACCGUGCCAAUUAGUGUAUAUUUGUGUGUACUGAUAAGACUUAUCCACAGACAGUAGAGAAGAAAAGGGGUCCUAUGGAAUGAAAAGAUUUGAGAAUUUUUUCAGGGACUUCAACUGCAAGUCCUACUGAAUUCUCUAAUGUACUUUAUAUCUCAGGCCAGCUCAAGGCCAGUGUGGAUUGGGAAGCACAUUCCACAGAUCAAGUACCAUCUCAUUCUAUGUGCUCAUGGCUUCACAUCUAUAAAUCCCAGAUUGUCUUUUGUGUACACCACAGUUACUAGCACAAAAGGAAAGGCAAGGUCAGGGAAGUAACAAGACACUCUGUCGAAUUCUUUAUGUCGGAAAUCAAAUGGAAUCCUUAAAACACUCCAGCAAAGUAGGUCCUCAUACUUCCUUUCAUAAUGCUGAGGGUUAAGGUGGCAGUUGUGGGACUUAAUCUGGUUUUGUUUAACUCUGAAGCUGAGGAUCUUCCUACGACUAUAGCAGACUGCCUUCCUUUAGGUACUUUAUAAAGCAUGAGCUAAAUGGAGACAGUUCUUAGGCUUAUGAAAAGCUUUCCAGUCAGAACUACUCCUUGUCUCCUAUUUUGGUGAAUGAUUAUGGGACUCUUUCACAGACACCUUAAGUCACACUUGAUGGAACUCAGGCUCCAUGCUUUUCACAUGUAGAAGUUACAGGGUCAGCAUUUGGGAGAAUGUUUAUUUCCUUUUGAGUAAUUUGUCUGCGAACAGAAUAGGCUGCCACUAACUAGGCGUGUAGUGGCUGUGCCUGGAGCAGGGGUUCACGGCUGGGACGUCUGCUCUGUGCACAUUCCUGUGAUGAAUGAGAAGGCAAGUUUAGCAGGGGCUUUCCCCCAACUCUCUUUGAAAUGAAAGAAGAAAAAAAUCAAACAACAAAUAACUUCUUUAAAAUAGCUAAGUGUAACUUCCUUGAUAUAGCUGCGUGUUAGAAGUGCUUGCCUUUCUUAGCUGCCUAGAGAGAUACCUGACAAAUGUCCAUCAGGAAAAAAGAAAAGGAACUGCUUCUCUAGGUUCCCUGCUCCAAAUUUAUUCCAUGGAGGCAAAACACAAUGGAUAGGAAAGUGGGAGCCCUCAACUUAUGAUCUGGGUGGAAGGAAGCUCUGUCAUAUCCGUCUGUUGUCUCUCCUAAUCAGAACCAGCUCUUUCUCCUUCCGAAGGGGUCUUCUUUCUUAAUCCUUUCCUUUUUAGAGGGAAACUCACUUAAGCCCUCCUUCCUUCUUAACCUCUUUAUGUUUUAGGUUGGGUGUUUAAUAAAAUGAAACUUGUGUUUAAGCAUCCACUCCUUAGCUUUAACAGAGAAUCCAAAACAUCCAUUUUUCCAAAGCAGAGUUGGUUAAACCAGAAGCAUUUAAACAAAACAUAUCAUGUUUUUUUUUAAGUUUAUUCAUUUAUUUUGAGAAAUAGAGAUUGAGAGCACACAAGUGGGAGAGGGGUAGAGAGAGAGGGAGAGAGAGAAUCCCACCCAGGCUCGGCAGCUGUUAGCGCACAGCUCAACACGGGGCUCGAUCUCAUGUCAUGAACUGCAAGAUCACGACCUGACCUGAAAUCAAGAAUCCUGAACCAAAAUCAAGAGUCCGAUGCUUAACAAACUGAGCCACCCAGGCGCCCCAUAUUAUGCUUUUAAUUGGGAAAAGCGAAAGGCAUUAAUGGAGAACCUAUUAUAUGACAGGCACACCAUAUGUGUUUGAUCUAAUAUAAUCCUUACAAAAAUCUUAUAGAAAGAAGGUUUUAUUAUUCCCAAGCUUAAUAAAAAGAAGACAGCUUCAAAGAGGUUAAUUUGCCCAGGAGCACUGAGAGAAAAUAUAUCUAUUUUCUAGACAUGCCUUAAUAAACUUUUCAUGUUUUCACAAACAUUAGUUCCAUCAGUACAGAUAGGAACCACAUCAGUUUUGUUUAUGUGGAAUCCUCAACACCUAGGAGAGUUCUUCACACUUAAUAGAUGCUCAAAAAGUAUUUUUGAAUGAACUUAUUUGCACUUUGCUACAUAAAUGGAUAUAUUAGCUUUCAAAAUUAAUAAAAUAGAGAAAGAAAACACAUAAUAGAUGUGUAUAGACUCAAGGAGAAAAACAAUGGUAGCAUAAUAUAAAGCCAAAAGCAAGUCUAGUACUAAAAUGGAUACCAUGAGUUCCAUUUUUCUUUUUUUAUAUUUAUUUAUUUUUGAAAGAGACAGAGACAGAGUGGGAGCGGGAGGGGGGCAGAGAGAGAGGGAGCCACAGAAUCCAAAGCAGGCUCUAGGCUCUGAGCUGUCAUCAUAGAGCCCGAUGCGGGGCUCGAACCCACAAACUGUGAGAUCAUGAUCUGAGCUGAAGUCAGAUGCUUAACUGACUGAGCCAUCCAGGCACCCCAAGUUCCAUUUUUCUAAGAUAUUUAUUUCUAACUAGGAACACUGAAUCCUAAUCAGUUACACAAUAUCUAGUUUCUUUAAGGCAGGAAACAAACUAAUUGCUCUAGACAUGCAUAGCCCUUCUAAAAAGAAAUUUUCUCCUUCCUAAGGAAUUUUGUCCUAGGAAAAGGCACUGGAAAAUAUAAUGAAUAAUGUUCCAAAAAUAUCUUUAAGGUAGACAUGACAAUGAAUGCAUUCUAUUAGGCCGUUUCUUACUGUGUCUAUCCAUAAUGGCCAGUAGCAUCACACUAGAGCAUAAUCCAAUAAACAUCAUCAUGUCAGUCGAAUAUGAGCUUAAAAAACUAGCAGAAUGAAGACUUUUACUUAAGUCUCAGUUUGCACAGAUGGUACUUAUCUCUCUGAUGCUGGCAACUCAUAUUUGAACUACAUUACAAAUGUAUUUUGUUUAAUUAUUUGCUUGGAGCCCGUCCAAAGUUUUUAAUAUCUAUCAGCCUUUAUGAUUGAUUCUUCUAGUACUUUGCAACCCACCAAGUAUCAUCACAACCACAAUGAGAGUGAAGAGAGACAUAUGUGAUCCAAGAAUCUGAGCGAGAUGACUCAGUCAGCAUCUUCUCCCUUGGUGUACAAGGGUAGGGACUGCUACUGUGUCAUCUGGAGCAUGACAAUGAGAACACAGUCACUGGUUUUUCCUGAUAUAGCUUGCAAUCCAUCUGGGACUCUAGACAUCCAUUCUCAUUCACAUUCAUGCACAUCCCCUAUUACUCCAACUCCUACACCUUUUGGCAGGAAAUAUCCACACAGCUGGACUGGAUUCAUAGGAUGUUUUUAUUUUUUGCCUCAUUAAACUGUAGCUUUCCUCAA